rnacentral:rRNA from 1 species
AGAGUUUGAUCCUGGCUCAGGAUUAACGCUGGCGGCGUGCAUAACACAUGCAAGUCGAACGAUGAAACUUAGUAGACUUCUUCGGAAAGACACUAAGCGGAUUAGUGGCGAACGGGUGAGUAACGCGUGAGUAACCUGCCUUACACAAGGGGAUAGCCUUUGGAAACGAAGAAUAAUACCCUAUAAAACCAUAAAAGCACAUGCUAGAAUGGUCAAAGUGAUAGCGGUGUAAGAUGGACUUGCGUCUGAUUAGCUAGUUGGUGAGAUAAAAGCUCACCAAGGCAACGAUCAGUAGCCGGCUUGAGAGAGUGUACGGCCACAUUGGGACUGAGACACGGCCCAGACUCCUACGGGAGGCAGCAGUGGGGAAUUUUGCACAAUGGGGGAAACCCUGAUGCAGCGACGCCGCGUGAUUUAGAAGGCCUUCGGGUUGUAAAAAUCUUUUGUAUAGGAAGAAAAUGACAGUACUAUACGAAUAAGGUCCGGCUAAUUACGUG